rnacentral:rRNA from 1 species
UGGGGAAUUUUGGACAAUGGGCGCAAGCCUGAUCCAGCCAUGCCGCGUGCAGGAUGAAGGCCUUCGGGUUGUAAACUGCUUUUGUACGGAACGAAACGGCCUUUUCUAAUAAAGAGGGCUAAUGACGGUACCGUAAGAAUAAGCGCCGGCUAACUACGUGC